GACGAACGCUGGCGGCGUGCUUAACACAUGCAAGUCGAACGAAGUGGCGGACGGGUGAGUAAAGCGUAAUCAACCUGCCCUUCAGAGGAGGACAACAGUUGGAAACGAGUGCUAAUACCGCAUACUGAGGGAGGUGCUUGCGUUUGAUUAGCUAGUUGGCGGGGUAACGGCCCACCAAGGCGAUGAUCAGUAGCCGGUCUGGGAGGAGGAACGGCCACAAUGGGACUGAGACACGGCCCAGACUCCUACGGGAGGCAGCAGUGGGGAAUCUUCCGCAAUGGACGAAAGUCUGACGGAGCAACGCCGCGUGAGUGAUGACGGCCUUCGGGUUGUAAAGCUCUGUUAAUCGGGACGCGGUACCGGAAUAGAAAGCCACGGCUAACUACGUGCCAGCAGCCGCGGUAAUAC
rnacentral:rRNA from 1 species